CAGGCAAGUAAAGUAAGCCCUUGCCUCCAACUCCUCUUGGCUCCUGAUCUCUGGAGAAGUAUCUCGGAGAGAAACAGGGAGGAAGUCAACGGGACAGCCAUGGAGAGAGAGUUUGGGUAGAAUGGGUGCCCCAGUGUGGCAGUGCUCAAGAGGCCCACAGCCUUAAGGCCACUCAGGAGGAAGAGAGGAGGCCUCAAUUCUUCCGUUUUCCAUUGUAGCAGCAACAUGAAGCGAGCAGCCUCCUUGAACUAUCUGAACCAACCUAGUGCAGCACCCCUCCAGGUCUCCCGGGGCCUCAGUGCCAGCACCAUGGACCUCUCUUCAAGCAGCUGACAUUCAACCCGGCCCCCAGGUCUGCUGGGUCCCCCCACCCCCACAGCCCUCACAGCAUUCCCCAUUGCUCCUGGCUCUUCCCCACCCCUAGGUGGGACAGUGAAGGGGAGCAGUUUAACCAGAAGAUUGCUGCUGCCCUUAGGGUCUCAGCUCCCUCCUCAGGAAUCCCUCUUAGGAAGGACCCUCAGGACACCCUCUCUGCACCCUGUGGUCCUCUAGAGUAGCUAGCUCUGAGGCCCCAAGGUGGGUACAAAGCAGGUAUGGCCUUCAGAGAUGCAGCCUGCUGCUGGCUUUUCAGUCAGAGGGUUGGGGGCUGGCCAGCCAAGCUGCCUUGCCCUGGCCGCUCUUACUCCCUCCCUCUGCUGUCUCACUUCAGGUCCAUGUAUUUCACUUUUCUUAAAUAAAAGAAUCAGGUAACCUUUC
rnacentral:sRNA from 1 species